rnacentral:tRNA from 1 species
GGGCCCGUAGCCUAGCACGGAUUAAGGCGUCAGCCUUCGGAGCUGAAGACCGUGGGUUCGAAUCCCUCCGGGCCCG